UGCAUCUUGAGCCAUGGAAUCAGAUUUCACUAAAGGUUCUGGACUGGCUAGCUUUAAUGCAGCGCAGGCAGAAUUCCACCUUACAAUCUCUAUCAGCUGCUGAGGUUGGCCUGAAGCAUUCUGCCGAGUUCAGGAGAGCUCAGGCCUGGACUGAUAUUAUACAAAGAUAUCCCACAGUCUCUGUAAAUUAGUCUUCAUUGUAGAGAACAACAGACAUUAAAAAAAAAAAAAUUCUGCUACUAUACUCAACAGUGCUAACAUAGGAAAGUGUUUCAGUAGAUAGUUAAUUCUCCAGCUAUUGUCUAUGUAAAGCACUGAACACAUACUUGGGCAUUAAGAAUUUUAAUAAGUUGAAAAUUCAAUCUUCUUCAGUAAAUGAAACUGAUGUCCUUCACAGGAAUAGUACAUUGUUAUAUCUCCUUCCAUAUUUCAAUAAGAAAAUCUUCUAUUGCUGUAGAAGAUAUC